rnacentral:lncRNA from 1 species
UAUGCUUGUUAAACAUAUGUCUUUGAUACGAUACGAUGUUAAUUCAUUUUAUUUUAUUCUUUACCAGUAUUACGUUAAGAAGUCCAUUUGCACGCACCCCCUUUUGAGCAUGGGAACGUACGCCAGAAUCCAGCUCAGCAAGGGGAGAAACCUAGUAUUUUGCAAAUGAGGAGGGAGUUGGAGCGGAUGAAAUCGGCUCUCGAAACGAAAGGCCGCCUUUUUCAACCGCAUAUGAAAGACUAUCUCUUAAAAGAGAUUACGCUCCUCACUAACAAAAUAAGCUUCAAUAUGCUCUUUCAGAUAUGGUACAUUUGCACCCUCUAUACACAUCGGAAAAUCCUGCGCUGACGAAAAGGAAUGUGUAGGCAGGUGAUUAAAUUUACUCUUGGAAAGAAAAACGGAGAAUGUUUUCAACCGCAUUUGAAAGACUCUCUUUUAAAAGAGAUUCCAUUUUUGCAGAGUCGUAUUCGUCUUAGUGACAACAUGAAAGAAGGAUUUUUUGUAUUUAUAUGUUUUUUCGUGCAAUCGAUUAUCUACUGAUGAGUUGAUGUACCUGUAUAUAUUUUUGGGUAAAAUAUACUUCUUUUUACCCCCGUGUAAUAAGCUCAAUCGAGAGUUGUAUUCGACUUAGUGACAACAUGAAAGAAGGAAUUUGUAUUUAUAUGUUUUUUUUUUGUCUAAUGAAUUAUUUACUUAUGAGUUGAUUUAUUUCAAUUUGAUUUGUUCAUUGUGAAAAUACUGUGUGUAUGUAUUUUUGGGCACUAUGGUUUAUGGAAUGGCAACGAAUAUAUGCAAGACGAAAAUUACUAAGUGCAAGACCUUACUUUAUGCAAGACUAAUAUAUAAAUAAAUUUACUAAGAUCAAGAUUGGAAAUUACAAAUAUAACCCCAAUAUUAAUUUAGAUAUUAUUAAUUCAAAUUAGGCUAAUUGCUAUUGCAAGACAAAAAAAAAAAAAAAAGGAAUAAAGAAAAGGAAAAAAGAGGGAACUCACUCCCCCAACAAAACCCCAACACUCAUAUUACACACUUUUUUCCACAAAAAAAUCUUCCAUAUUCUCCAAAACCCUCAUCACACAAAUCCCUCAAAUCUUACUAAAACUUGAAAAGAAGGACAUUAUGGAUACACAAGACAUAAAUAUGGAGGAUUUUAAGGUCGAAGAACACAAAAAGGUAAGAAAUAUUGUACUUUGUGAUCGUUUUUCUCGUUUUUCGCACCUCAUUUCACGUACAAAAAAUUCGACAUGUACAUGUCGAAAUAUGCUCCGAAUAUCGACACAUUAGUGUCGAAAAUUUCAACAUAAAUCGACACUCUUUUCUUGUCGAUUUUUAUUGAAUUUUUCAACACUGUGGUAUCGAUAUUCGGUGCAUAUUUCGACACUGGUGUGUCGAUUUUUCACUGUUACAAUUGUUUAACCAAAAAUCGACACCAAUAUGUCGAAAUAUUUCCAAAAAAUCGACAAGUACAGGUCGUUUUUUGUAAAAUCGCAACUCCUUCAACAAUAGUGCUAGAAUCGAACCCUAAAAUUAUCAACUAUGUUCUAAAAUGACUUGUAUUCAUUAUUCUAACAAUAAAAUCAUGUUUAUCACAUUUUAUUUCUCAAAAAAAAUUAACUCAAAAAGUAAUUUUCUUACUUUCUUUUCGUGAGACUGCUGUGGCGGGGUUGAGGCAACAACAGUUGCAGGUGGGGAGGUUCUAGUGGUUGUCGACUGCAACGGCGACGGGGCGACGGCGAAGGGCGGCAGCGAGUGCUGCAAUUGAUUUUUUUCCCUUCUUCCCUCCUCGUUUUUUAGUUCUCAUUUUUCAAUUUAUUUUUUCUUUCUUUUUUUAUUAAUUUUUGUUUUUUAAAUUAGUCUUGCAAAAGUAAAUUAAUAAAAGAAUUUUAUUUUUUUUGGUAUUUUACUAAGGCUAUUAUAGUCUUUUUAUACUUAGUUUGAUAAAAAAAAAAUUAAUUUGGUCUUGCUCUAAGUAAGUUUGUGAUUGCAAAUAGUCGCUGUCUUAUGGAAUAUUUACCCCUUUUAAUUUGAAAAUUGUCAUUUACCCCUCAACUAAUGAGUCAACCUAUUUGACUACUAAAAUAGUGAGGUGGUUUAAAUGAAAUGUAAUUUUAUCCUCAAAAUUUUACAUCAUUUUUUAUUAGGUUGAGGCUAUAUGCAAGACUAAUUUCACUUGUGCAAGAUCAAAUUAAAAUUUUCAAUAUAUAAAUACUAUAAUACCCUUAUUUGUUAAAAAAUAGAAAAUUUCAAAUGUGCAAUACCAAAAACUCAAAAACAAAAAAAACUCUAUCACAAAACCACAAAACCAACUCUCAUAAAUCUUUCUCCUUCCUCAUCUAUAAACCCACAAAACCUAAACAUUCAAAAUCAUCAAAACUCAACAAAUCUUACAAAGAUGGCAAGUAUGGAGUCAAUAGACAUCAAAAUAGAAGAAUCUACGGUAGAAUAAUCCAAGAAAUUAUGCAUUUAUGUGUUUUUUUUAGCUAGAAUAUCGUUUUUCCAAAAACAAUCCCGCGCAGACACAGUCGACGUGUACAUGUCGAAUUUUAUAGGCAAAAAUCGACAAUGAGAUGUCGAUUUUGUAGUACAAAAUCGACACCUUAGUGUCGAAAUUUAAUUGUUAGUAAAUUAGGCUAAAUAUACUAAAUUUCGACAUUAAGGUGUCGAAUUUAUGGACAUAUAUUCGACACCUUAAUGUCGAAAUUUAGUUGUUUCAUAUUUCGACAUGUACAUGUCAAAUUUUAUAGGUAAAAAUCGACAUUGAGAUGUUGAUUUUGGAGUACAAAAUCGACACCUUAGUGUCGAAAUUUAACUGUUAGCAAAUUAGUCCAAAAUUUACUAAAUUUCGACAUUAAGGUGUCGAAUUUAUGGACAUAUAUUCGACACCUCAAUGUCGAAAUUUAGUUGUUUCAUAUUUUAUUAUUAUUUGUUAUUUGGUCUUGCAUGAGCAAACAAAAACCAAUUUAAUUUAUGGGUAUAUUUGUCAUCUCAUCUUAAUAAAAUAGAAUAUUUUGGAAUCUUUCUUUAAUUUGGUCUUGCACAAGUGAAAUUAGUAUUGCAUAUAGCCGCAGCCUUUUUAUUAUUAUUGUCCUUCACACAUGAUACCUUAUUUUUAUAAUAGGAAAUUAAUUUUUAUACUGUGAAUAAAUUUAAAUAAAUGUUUUGGGUUAGUUUCAUUUUUUAAAUUGAUAAAAUUAUUUACUUUAAUUAUUAUUUUAAAAAAAAUAUUUUUAACAUUAAAAUUUAUAUAAUUAGUUAUAACUAGAAUUUAUGUAAUUUGUAAUUUGAAGUCCAAAUGUUUUUUUUUUUGUUGGAUUAAAUUUCAUUGAAUUAAUAUAAAGUGUAUAUUGUGUUGAUUUUUUUAUUCAUGAAAUCAAUUUAUAAAUAACAUUGAAAAAAAAUAUAUGAUUAAAGUAUUACCAUUAUCAUAAAGGCUAGUACCAAUCUCUUAAUUAGGAAUUAUUAUAACUAGCCUAUAUUAAAUCUCAUGUGGAGAAUAAUGUUAAAUGUUGUGCUAAAAUUUUAAAUAACGAAAAUAUUUCCGAUUUUAAGAGUGAGUUAAAUGGCAAUUCGAUUGGUACUUAUAAUAUAAGACCCGAUCCCAAAAGGAUAAAAAUAAUUUUAUGUAAAAUCAUUUGAUUGUUAUAGAAAAUAAAUGGCAGUGGUUUGGGUUGAUGCAGAUACAAUUAUUCGUCUGCUCUUAUUCUCGAAAACAGAAGUUGAAACUUUAUAAUUUGAAAUCAUUAUUCGAAUAAAGAUUAAAUUUAAUUAAAAUAAAGCCGCAAUUUUUCCCAGCCAUUUAUUUUUUUGUUAACCAGUAAAAACACAGUUCAAUUUUUGGAUUGAAAAAAUGAUUCGGAAUUUGUAAAUAUUUUUUGAAUUAAGGGGUUUAUACAUUUUUUAUUCGAGGUGAAUUGAAAAACAAAAAUAGUCUAGAUUAUACUAGAUCCUCUACCAUAGUCCAGUUUCGAACCCUUUAAAGCGUUCUUUGUGAGAUCACAUUUUACUUGUAACUUAUAUAGCACGGACAUGAAAAAGGUGAUACGGAAAAACUGACACGGGGAAAUGAUAUAUUCUAAAAAUGAAGAUAUGGGAACUCGGGGGAAAUGUGUGACUAUUAAAAUUAUAGGGGUAUAAUUAUAAAUAUAUAAACUUAUAUAAGUUUUUAUUUAUAUAUGAAUUAUUUUAUAUUUUUUCACACAAACAUAUUCAAAAUGAAUUGUACUAUCAAUCAUCGAUUUGAAAUUGAUCAUUAAAUCGUGUAAAUAAUUAGGGAAACAACAAAACUAUUUAAAUAUUUGCUAUUCAAACAUGUUUACAACUUUCAAAAAUUAUAAAUUGGCCAUAAUGUGUCUGGCAAGUGUUCUCGGGUAUUCGAAACGUUAAAAGUUAAAGUUUCCGUACUACAUAGCUGAUAACAUAUUAGUGAGAGGUUGGGGUUUAAACCAUUUAAAGGUUGUUUAUUAAUUAUUGAUGGACAACAAUAUUAAUUAUUAAAUAUAAUAAAAAUUGUGAGUAGACAUCACCACCAUAAGGCGAAGAGAAACGUUUUGGAUUCUUCAAUUUGAAAACAACAAUAAUAAAAGGAUUUAACUGCAACAAGUGUUAAUUAGAGGGGUUGAGGUGAUAUUAACUCUUAUUUCAAGGGGUUUAAACUAUAAUAAAUACAUACUUACAAAUUGAUCAAAUAAGCCCUUUUCCGAUGAUCAGUUUAAUCUCUCUCUCCUCACUAAACCCCGUACGUCAUGCCAACCGUCGCCGCCGUCACCCGCCGUUAUCCGUUCGCCGCCGUGGGAGGAGGAGACUGCGAAGGCGGCGAUGGAGCUGGUGAAGAGAAACACACAUGCCAACAACAGAGCUCUGAUUGUUGAUUUGCCGCGAGCCUUUAAAGGAUGGCUAUUUCCAGAUUGUAAGCCAUGAAAUUUACUGUUUGGGGCUAAUUACGGUUAAAAGUCCAUAAAUUAAUACAGCCGGGGCUUGCAAAAUACUGUUAAUUUAGCGAAAUAUUACAUUAUCGAAGCUUCUACUGUAUGUGGAAAUGUAAUUGCAUUACUGUUUGCCUUUCUUAUGAUACAAUUAUGUUAAUUGUAGUUAGAAACUAUGGAGAACAUCUGGCUGCUGUUAUAUUUAUAUAUACUUAAUUACUGUUUAACAUGAUUUUUGGGUAAUUGGUCGAAUAUGUUGGUGAGUAUUUUGGUGAUUAUUGUAUUUAUUUACUAUAAUUUGUUUUUUGGUUAUUGUGAUAAUAAUGCCCUAAAUGUGCCAACUGCUGCAAUUUCUGUUGUCGUACAUUAAUUUUUAUCUCCCCAGAAACUCCAUGGUCGUAGGUUAUAGAAAGGCGUGUUACGUUGUUUGACUUACAAUCUUGCAUGCGUGGCUAUCCUGCUUCUCUCUGUUGUAUUAGCUACUAUAGGAUUAGCAUCAAUUUUCUACUCCUUUACUAUAAGUUGUUUUGUAAAAAAAGUUCAAAUGUUUUUCGACCAACAACCUGAAAGAAUUCAAUGUGAAUUGAAUGAUACGUAUGGGUUAACAUCCUUCUUAUCACUGUUGAUUCUAUACACCUUCUGUGUUAUGUGCAUCUUUAAUACAUAUGUGAUCUUCCCACGUCUGUUUUUUAUUAUAUUUGUAACCAUGGAAACUCGAGGUUUGAAGUCAUUAUCAAAUUUCUGCUAAUUUUGCAACUGGUGAAGUUAAUCUAUGUCACAUAUUCUCUAUAGGAAAUUCCACGUCCAAAAAUUAUGACAUCUUAUUGGUAACUUGAUGGUUCGUACUAAUUUUACUUCUCAUUAUUUGAAGGAAUAUGGGGCAUUAUCGCGAGUUGGCGAGAGAUGUGUUUUCAGAAUCAGGUAAUAAUUUAAUUUGGAUGUUGAAGAGUAGCUUUAGUGCUCAUAAGCUGUUUGAUCUCAAUCUGGUAUAGAGACUACAAAAGUUUGGGUUGAGUUUCAAAGUUAUAUGCUUCUAAUCAAAACAACAUCAGAUAUCUAUAAAAUAACCUUUUAGCUUAUUGAGCAGAAAUCAAGCUAAACUUGAUAAAUAUCCUAUUGCUAAUAUGAUAUCAAAAUUGAACAUUCCUAGAAAAUUAAUCCGAAAAGGUAUACUUAGCAGUUGGGUAGAUGUCUACGGUUUCGUAAACCGACCGAACCAAAACCAAAGCUUUAAUUUGUACCGAAUAUUGAACUGCUAUUAUCCUGUUUGAUAUUCGCUUUCCGUAUUUCACAGUUUUGGUUCGGUACUGAUACUUUUGGUUUAAGUUUACGCAACUGAACUGUGCUUUUAGAAAAUCCUUCUUUGUACAUAUAUGAUUGAAGAAGAGAUUUUUCCAUGUAUACAAUCAUUCCUGGUAUUGUCAUAUGUCUUCUUAUUAGCUAGUUUUUGUUCUUUUCUUCCAUCAUAGAAAAUGCGAGUUAAUAAGUUUAAAAGUUUUUUUUUUUUGUUUAAUUCAUUUGCAAUUUUACAUGUAACCCAGAAUUUAAAUAGAGAAUAAUGGUGUAGGCUGGAAGAGCAAUCAAGACCAAGAUGAAAUUUUGGAAAUUUCCAAAGAGCAAUCAAUACCAAGAAUGGCAGUCGGUUUUCAGUAUUGCCAAAAAAUAUUUGGUAUAGUUUACAUGCUACUCAGUUUGGUUGAUGAAAUAUAAUUAGUUGUCUCAUUUAUCAGAAAAUUCACUUAUCCCGGGAUCUUUACGAAUUUACCGAACCACACCAAAUUGUUUGGUUUUGGGUAUUAAGUGUCGUAAAAUGCAAAAUGAUAUUUCUGUUUUCUAAUUUUCGGUUUGCUGAAUGCACAGGCCUUUUGGCUGUGGAUAUUGGGCUUAGAUACUCUUUCAGAAAUCCAAGAAAUGGAUCGUAGAAGUUCAAAACCGUAGUAAAGGUACUGUCAAGCCCAUCCAAUACAUUUUGUUUCCGUACAUUGCUGCCAGCUAAGAAUUAUUAAUGCUAAUACGUCAAAUGAGUUGGCGAGUUGGUGGAUGGAUAAGUCAGAAUUUAUUGCAAUUGACUGUCGACCGUAUCACGGCAGAUUUUCUCACCAUUAUAUAACACGCAUUCUCCGUGCACCAAUUCAUUCACCAUAUCUCCAUGUCUCUCUGCUUUCAGUUUUCUUCCCAUCAUUUUCUCUGAUUUAAGGCUUUUGCUUUAUUUUUGGUUGAAAAUCGGAUGAGAUUUGUGUUAAUAUUUGUAAGUUUUAGUUUGAUUUAGUUUUAGAAUGAUGCCUAUAUCUUUUUCUUAUUCUUGUUACACCCCCCCCCCCCCCCCCACCAAGCUGCAUUCUACCUUCAUUUUUCCAUCGUGUAAUCAUUUUCUCGGAUUCAAGGAUUUUGAUCUAUUUCUGGUUCAAAAACAAAGGACGUAUCUGAUUUGACAUACAUCAUUUUUUUUUUGAAUUUUGUAAUUUUCGAUUUUUCAUUCCCGGUCGCCUAGUUGUUUCUGUCCAUUUCUUUUUGUCUACUUUUCAUUCAAUUCUACCUUGGAUUAAUGAUAGAUCUCAUCUCGAUUUGAAGAUUAGUUUUCUAGGACAAGUUUUUGUGUCAUAGUUACGUUGCUUCUCUUUCUGAUGAUUUUUUUCCCUUGUAGAGUUAUCCAUGAAGAAAUAUCCUCUGCUGGAAAUAUGCAGAGGAACGAGCUCAAUUUUAAGGUAAAUUUCAUGAAGUCAAUUAUGACAGAUCUCUUAGAAUCAAAGAAUGAUAAACAGAGAACAACAGGGAUCUGUUGUUGUUUUUCAAAAAGAAAAUAUAUAGAAAUGAUUUAGUAAAUAAACUUAUCUUAAUUAACUUAAUCAACAGAUCUUACAUUAGAUACCCAUGUGAAAUGGAAGGAAGCUAUCUAUAUUUCUUUUUGAGAGGGUUAUAUCCGGAACUGUAGAUCUCUUAUAAUUUCACUCUCGUAAAGUAAGAUAUUCAAAAACUGAGGACAAUGAGUUCUUAUGUUAACAUGCUUGUCUUUGGGUAUGACAAAGGAAAAGAAGCGACUCAAACAACUGUCAUCACUGCCACAAUAAGGACAAAGAAAAUUUCCUACAGAUUCGGCGACGCAGUUUUCGUACCUGCUGGCUGCCCUCACCAAGCUAGAAAUCUAAAGGUUUGAAUGUCUGGCUCGUAUACAACUUCGUGAACAACUUCAAUUGUUUUUCAGUCGAAUAUACAUUUUAUUCGCUGCGAAUUUCGUAAUUAAUAUUUGUGUACGAUGUUCCAUCUUGCAGUCGUGCACAAGUAUGUCUAUCGACUUUGUUUCAGCAGAAAGUGUCGGUGAGUGCAUCCGCCUGUCAAUGGAAUAUCGGUCGACUCCCUCACAAUCAUAGUUCUAAGGAAGACAAAUUGCAGGUAUGUAAAAUAAUAUGAUUGUCUUGUCAAUAACUAAAAUCGGAGAUAUAUAUAAUGAAUAAAAAUUUGUCUGCUUGUAAGAAAAAUAAAGAUUGCGGACGACAUCUAACGGCUCGUAAUAAAACAGGUGAAGGGAUUGGUUCUCAGCGCUGUACUUGGACAAGAUUGAUGCGUAAGUCAUAUAUGCUUGUUAAACAUAUGUCUUUGAUACGAUACGAUGUUAAUUCAUUUUAUUUUAUUCUUUACCAGUACUACGUUAAGAAGUCCAUUUGCACCGUACGCCAGAAUCCAGCUCAGCAAGGGGAGAAACCUAGUGUUUCACAAAUGAGGAGGGAGUUGGAGCGGAUGAAAUCGGCUCUCGAAACGAAAGGCCACCUUUUUCAACCCCAUAUGAAAGACUAUCUCUUAAAAGAGAUUCAGCGCCUCAUUGACAAAAUAAGCUUCAGUAUGCUCUUUCAGAUAUGGUACAUUUGCACCCUCUAUACGCAUCGGAAUGUACAUCGGAACCCUGCGCUGACGAAAAGGAAUGUGUUGGCAGGUGAUUAAAUUUACUCUUGAAAGAAAAAACGGAGAAUGUUUUCAACCGCAUAUGAAAGACUAUCUUUUAAAAGAGACUCGCUAACAAAAUAAACUCCAUUUGCAGAGUCGUAUUCGUCUUAGUGACAACAUGAAAGAAGGAAUUUUUGUAUUUAUAUGUUUUUUUUUAUAAUGAAUUAUUUACUGAUGAGUUGAUUUAUUUCAAUUUGAUUAGUUUAAUCUCUCCUCACUAAAUUCCCAUAUGUGGAAGUGCAAUACCCAUGCCAACCGUCGCCGCCGUCACCCGCCAUUAUCCUCCGCCGCCGUGGGAGGAGGAGACUGCGAAGGCGGCGAUGGAGCUGGUGAAGAAAGAAACACACAUGCCAACAACAGAGCUCUGAUUGUUGAUUUGCUGCGGGCCUUUAAAGGAUGGCUAUUUCCAGAUUGUAAGCCAUGAAAUUUUACUGUUUGGGCUAAUUACGGUUAAACCUCUAUAAAUUAAUACAGUCGGGGCUUGCAAAAUACUGCUAAUUUAGCGAACUAUUAAAUUUAUCGAAGUAGUAAUUUUAAUAUGUUUUUACCGGGUCGGACCGUGAGAAAUUAUUAUUUAAGCGAGGUUAUUAAUUUAUCGAGGUUCUACUGUGUGUUGAAAUGUUAUUGCAUUACUGUUUGCCUUUCUUAUGAUACCAAUAUGUUAAUUGCAGCUAGAAACUAUGGACAACCUCAUGUUGCUGCUGUUAUAUUUAUAUAUACUUCAUUACUUUUUAACAUUUGGUCGAAUGUGUUGGUGAGUAUUUGUUGAUUAUUGUUUUUAGUUACUAUAAUUUUUUUUUGGUUAUUGUGAUAAUAAUGCCCUAAAUGUGCCAACAGCUGCAAUUUCUAUUGCCGUAUAUUAAUUUUUAUGUCCACAGAAACUCCAUGGUCGUAGGUUAUAGAAAGGCGUGUUACAUUGUUUGACUUACAAUCUUGCAUGCGUGGCUAUCCUGCUUCUCUCUGUUGUAUUAGCUGCUAUAGGAUUAGCAUCAAUUGUUGUUUCUCCUUUACUAUACGUUGUUUUGUUAAAAAAAAUCAAAUGUUUUUCGACCAAAAAACCGAAAGAAUUCAAUGUGAAUUGAAAGUACGUAUGGGUUAACGUCCUUCUUAUCACUGUUGAUUCUAUACACCUUCUGUGUUAUGCGCAUCUUCCCACGUCUGUAUUUUAUUAUAUUUGUAACCAUGGAAACUCGAGGCUUGAAAUCAUUAUCAAAUUUCUGCUAAUUUUGCAACUGGUGAAGUUAAUCUAUGACACAUAUUCUCUAUAGGAAACUCCUCGUCCAAAAAUUAUGACAUCUUAUUGGUAACUUGAUGGUCCCAACUAAUUUUACUUCUCCUUAUUUGAAGGAAUAUGGGGCAUGAUCGAGAGGUGGCGAGAGAUGUAUUUUCAGAAUCAGGUAAUAAUUUAAUUUGGAUGUUGAAGAGUAGCCUUAGUGCUCUUUUAAGUGUCAAAUAAUCGGAAAGUGCUUCAUCUGAUAACAUUUAUAUGAAAAACCAAAUGUCGCAGAUAUGAAUGCGUGACUUAGUUAUUCAAGACUAAAGUAUAUGUUAAUAAAGCUAUUAGUUACUAUAUGUCUUCAGUUAAUUUGUUCAAGUAUUGAUCAAAUAUAUUAUACACAAUUGCAAGUGAUAUUACUCUUCGAUAUGUUCAAACAUCUCAAAAGAACUUUGGUUUUAGGAAAAGAAAUCCUGCCUGAUAUUUGGAAGGUAAAACAAUCGGGAAUGAGGUUUUUAGCAUCACACCUUGAGUUUUUGCUUUUUUCAUACCUAGGUAAACUAAAUUAAUGGCUCAAGGAAGUUCACAAUAGACUGUGUGGUACAUUUCAUAUCUCGCCAAAUGUCAUUUUGCUGACAGCUAUGGUUGGUGUAACUGCUAAUAUGUAAAGUUAGCUGGCAUCGUCACUGGAUAUGAAGCAAUUUAUUAGGGGUCGAUACAAUCAAUGCUGACCUUAUCGAUUUACUGGCGGAGUUUCCCACAAAUAAAUUUUACCCUCCCCUCCCUCCCUACUCCCAUUCUUCUAUCUCGCCCAUUCUCUCCACCUCUGUAUCCCUUGUUCAAUUUUCCAUCUUCGUCUCCUCAUUUUCUCAAAUUAAAAGCUUCUGUUUUGUUUGUGGUUCAGAAUCAGAAGAGUUUGUUAUCUGAUUUAGGUGAUUUUAUAUUACCUUUUCUUGUUUUUCCCUUUUUUUUUUUCUUAAACUAGAUGAACUGAGUUUGCUAUCUAAUUUCCACCACUUUCAUGUUACAUUUCAUGACACGAUAUGUUCUAUUUUAGAUUAAAAAAGAACAUGUGUUUGUCAUAUUGAUUUUGAAGAUUAUAUUGUAUGAUUAGUUUUCUUACUCCUCCUUGGUGAUUAUUUUAUCGUUUAUGUUGUAGAAACUAACAAUUUUGAAAAAAACAUUCUUCUAUAAAUAAGGUUGGUUUAAUCACUGCAUGUAUUCUUACUUAUAAUUAAAACUUAAAAUAAUAGAUGUAUAAUUAGAGUGGUGCAAUCCUUAUGAAGAAACCAAUAACCACUAUUAUAUAAUUUAUAUUUUUUUUCCUUACAUGAUUAUGAGCCAUUUGAUGAAGUUAUUAAACUUGUACUCAUAUGUUCUUGAAUAUAAUCCUUUAUGCUCUAUUGUAAUCAUGUAUUCAAAUCAAAGUAUAUCAUUAAUGGUUUAAAAUUGUUGUUAUUCUCUGUUAGUCUUUAGGUUACAACAUUUUCAUGCCUUGAAAUAGGUUUCAUAACCUGUAUCUCCCACUUUUUUUUUGUUGGUAGAAUUUAGAGGACAAAAAUACAUUAGUCGGCAUAGGUUAUGUGAACAUAUUAAAAAUUUAAUUAUAAUGGUUGAAAUAUUUAUUAAUAGAUUCUGGUGCACCAAUUUUAUUGUCAGUGUGCAUAAGUAGUAAGUAGCAAUAAUUUAAAACAAAUAUUUUUCUUAAAAUGUCCUUAAGGAAUCCUAAUUUGAGAUUUUUUUUUCUGGGGCCCUCCUUUUUACAGGCAUGGUAAGUAAAAACGUUUUUGGUUAGUGAGAAGGAAAAUGAUUUAUAUAUUUAUAUGAAUCAGCAUAAGAUUGCAAUAGUCAGUAUUAUAUUGCAGUAAUAUGUAUAAGUUUGCAAUAGUCAACAUUAUAUUGCAGUGAGCAGUAUCGGAUUACAGUAAUCAACACAAUUUUCCUUUUUUGCUGGUAAGACCUCCUUAUUUCAUUUUCCCUGGAACAAUUAUGCAUACAUUUUGCCAUUGCAGUUAAGAGAACAAUUGAAAACCAAGAUUUAUCAAGGCAAUUAAUUUUCGGGGAGUUAAAAUGAUGCCGUCGAGAAGUACAAAUGGAGAAACAUCUUCUGCUGGAAAUAUGCAAAUGAACAGACACAACUUAAAGGUAAAUUAAUAAUGUUAAUUGUAGAAUUAAAUUGCUAUAAGAUUUGAUAUAAGCAUAUAGGUUGCAGAAUUCGGUUAUCCGUGCAAUUGUCUUGUAUCAAAUACUUUUUAGAAGUAAAAAAAUCAAAUUCCAUUUUGUGUUUGUCUUUUCAAUGAGACCCCAUGUGUAAAUACCAAAUUAGAAAAACCUUUCUUUCAGACUAUUUAUAGUGAAAUUACUUUGACUAAAUACAUUUAUAUAUACAGCAGGGGGACCGGUAAGUGUGGAUUCUUCGAUUUUGUGAUGUUGGUCUUGAAUUAUUUAGUAUUCAAUCAUGAAGUGUUUAAUUUAAAAAAUGUAUCUUUGUAAUUUUAAUCGAUAGAUCUAACAUUAGAUAUGUGUGUGUGUGUGUGUGUGCGCGCGCGCUCAUGUGUGUGUGUAUACGCAAUUUUAGAGUAAAUGCAUACAAAUUUUGGAUGAUCUGUCAUAAUUUCAUAAUAUUCGAAGGCGUUUAAAUGUUGUUCUGAAAUAACUUGAUUACGGCAGAAAACGAUGACAUGUCACAACAAUUAAAGUUAAGACCCUAAAGAAGAUUAAAUCCAAAACUGCGGAUCUCAUCUAAUUCAUUCCAUUGCCAACUUUUCAUAAAGUACUAUAUAAAAAAUCGAGGAUAUACUCUAUGUUAAUAUGUUUUUCUUUGGAUGUGGCAGAGGAAAAGCAUCGACUCGACCAAUUGCCAUCAAUGUCAUAGAAAUGACAAAGAAAAAGUUGUACGAUGCACCAAGUGCAAGCAUAGGGGUUAUUGUAUUCUCUGUAUCAAUAAAUGGUGAGAAAUUUUGUUGCUUGAUAUAUUUUUUGUUGCUCUUAUGUUGGUACUUGGUAUAUCUUACAUGGUGGCUUAUAUUUUGUAAUAUGGAUAAAUGUCAUUUAAGUCAUACUGAUUAAUUUUGAGUUUUACCGCCACAAAGCAGGAUGGUAUAUUUAUUAUCUUCUCUUUGGAAUAUACCUACUACCCAUUUAGUCAUUUAUGAAUGAAUUUUUGCUUAAACAUGUUUCAAAGUAAGGGCUUCCCUUGGUUCUACACUUACAUUAUUCCUGCAUUUUCUUCAAUAUAUAUAUAUAUAUAUAUAUAUAUAUAUAUAUAUAUAUAUAUAUAUAUAUAUAUAUAUAUAUAUAUAUAUAUUUUAUCGUCGAUAUACUAUAUCUCUGUGGUACACACAGAUACAGAGGCUGCAAGAGGCAGACUUUGCUGAAGCAUGCGCAGGCUGUCGCAAAUUGGCAACUGUACAGCUGGCAUACAUUCUGAUCUGGAGAAUAAAGUUAGUAUUAAGGUUCUUCUCUUGAUUUUAUAUUAAUAUAGGAUUAUAUGUUUUCUAAUUAAGUCUCUUGUUCUUGCAUGUUAGGAUUUGUUCAAACCAGACUUGCAGCUCGACAUCAACAAAAAGGUCCAGUACUCAAAGUAUAUUAUUAGAGUACUUCUUCCUUCGUUUAGGAAGUUUGUUGUUGAGCAGAACAUAGAAAGAGAAGAAGAGGCAAGAAUUCAAGGUAACUUUAACUUUUGUUAGGAGGUUUUGCUUAGAAAAUUAUUUUGAUAUCUCUUAUCUUCUUGUUACUGAUAUGGAUUUUGAUGCCUCCAAACGAAACCGAAGUGUCUUAAAAUGGUAUUUAAUGGCACUAUGCAUCAUUGAAGUUUCAGGAUGAUUUUUUCUAAUAAUAUUAAUUUAUGCCGUGUAGAAGUGUUGAACAUAUUUAAUGUUUAUCGUACACUACUUGUUUCCUGAAGAUCUAUGAGUUUAAAAGUGAGAUUCUUAUUUUAGGCGUGCCUUUGUUUGUGUUACUAAACACCCUGGAAAACAGCACAAAAAUCUAAAUCUAAUUUUCUUGUCUGUAUCAAUUCUACUACGACGAUCCAUCACCACUGCCUCGACCAUUAUCCCGCCAAAAAUGUAUAUUCACUGUUUAUUCGAAAGAUAGAAUAAAUAUGAAAAAUAUUUUAUAUGUUAAUAGUUUCCGUUAAUUGUAUGUGCUACUCCAUUUCAGUGAUUUAUGAUUUUGAGGUAUUAGUGAGACGUACCUGGAGAUAAACACUAUUGAUAGAACUCUUAAUUUUCCCUAGCAGAUGUAGUUUCGUUGUUUGAUUAAUUAUAAUAUAUAUAUUUUGGUUGGGCAGGUGUUUCAGUUGCGGGACUACAGCUUCCGAAAGCCAACUUUAUCCACGACGAUAAAGUCAAAUGGUGGAUACUUUUAACCUAUGCCCUUUUCCUGAUAAAUGUUUGCUCCAGUAUGGAAAAUGUUGAUAAUUAUAACUUGUGCUGUGCAGUGACAACUGUAAGACUGCAAUAUUCGAUAUCCACAGAAGUUGUCUAAACUGCAUGUACAAGCUCUGCGUAACUUGUUGCCGAGAGAUAAGGAAUGGCUUCCAAUGGGGAAAUGAUAAAUAUCACGUUCAUCAUGGGGGUCGUACUUUUACAAGCAAUGAUAGAUUUUCUGCAGCAGCCUGUUGCUCUAUGGACCACACGAGUUUUACUUCUGAAUGGAAGCUGAUAGACAGAAGUACCAUAGUUUGUCCACCUGAAAUUAUGGGGGGAUGUGCUCAUGGGAAUCUGGUGUUAAAGUCCACAUAUCCAGAUAACUGGGUAUCGGAACUGCUAAUUAAAGCAGAGUCCAUAGAUCUCGAGGUGGGUGAAGUUUCCGAAGAAGCAUGCUCAUGUUCAGGGACUGCAGUCCGUAAUAUCCGCUGUCCCAAAGUUGUGGGCGUUGACCAAAAGCACUUCCAACGGCACCUAUAUAAAGGUGAGCCUGUGAUAGUUCCUGACGUGCUCAGCAGAACGACUGGGUUGAGUUGGGAGCCAUUAGUCAUGUGGCGUGGUUGCCGCAAAUCCAGAAGGACUAAUGACGCUCGCAUUCUGGAAUUCAGCGUAACAAAUUGUGUAAAUUGGUGCAAGGUAUGCCGACUUCUCUAUUAUGUUUUACUCUAUCAAUCAAAAAGUUUUAAUUUGUAAUUUGUGAUUGGACUUCGCUUAUUUUACAUCCUUUUAAUCGUAUACCUCUUUUUUUUUUUUUUUGUUUUUCACAGUCAUGGUCUUAUUUCUUGUAACUGUUUCUAGGUUGUAUUCUUUAUGUUCUUGAGCAUUCACUUGCUGCAUAUGUAAUCUUUCAAAAGAAGGACUAAGUAACAAAAAUACUAAUCUCUUAUCGUCCUUAGUUUCGGUGCAAAUUUCUCUUCAUAUUGUAUCAACCUUCAAAAUGUCAAAACUUUGGUUGGGUUAAUAAGUGUCUAACACGAAUUUGGAUAGGAUAAAGCAAAGAUCUGACAAUUCGUCGUACUCGACAUGUUUCUUAAAAUAGAGAUGUUUUGAUAGAUUUGUUCUUGAUGUUUGUUUUCCUAUUUAAUUGAAAUGAGACCGAUAUAUACGUCGCCUUUACCCUUUUUAUUCGCUAUGUUAAGUGUCACUUCUUAUGUAGGUUUUAGUCUGUCAGUUCCUAUGCAUUAUGCACGUGUACUUUUGUUUUCAUUAGCUUAAAGAUGUGGUGUUGUAAUGAUUUGAUUUUCGGGCUAUGACACGCAGGAAACUAUAAACAUGCACCAAUUUUUCAAUGGGUAUUCUGAAGGCCUCUUGGACAGUGAAGGCCGGCCCAAAAUUUUGAAGUUGGAGGAUUGGCCUCCAACUGAAUCCUUUCAAGAACGGCUGCCUCGGCAUUUUGUAGAGUUCAUUAGAUGCUUGCCGUUCAAGCUAUACACACAUGAAGCUGGCUACCUCAACAUGCCAGCGAAAACGCCGAAGAAGUCGUUGAAGCCGGAUUUGGGUCAAAAAAUAUGCUUUGCUUAUGGAGUCAAUGAGGACCUUGGCUUCUGUUCUGCAACCAAGCUUCAGUAUGCUGUUUCAGAUAUGGUACAUUUUUUUCUGUUAUUAUCUUUCUUUAUUAACUUGAAUAUUUAUGAGAAUAUAUGAACUGCUUUAAAUCAUUUCCAAUUAGUCUGCCUAUUGCAUCGAUAGAAGCAGUACAUCUCCGAAAGAUUAUUCUUAUGAAGUCGUGGGUAUUUCUAUCUAUUCAACGCAGUCCUAGUUCUUCUUUCUUGCAUGUAAUAUGUUAAUCUUAAUUGUUGACUCAUUAUACGCAAGAUAGAAUGAUGUUGAAUAUGCUUUAAACUUGAGUUUCAAUUAGGAAUAAUAGUCAUGAAAAAAUUUGGAAUAAUGUAGAGGCAUAAAAGUUCGAUCACAAACUAUUUCUUGAAGAAGAGAAAUGGAUUUGCUGUGAGCCUCCAUGGUUCUUGAAAUAUGACAUAGUCAUAUAAUUGAGCAAUAUGGUUAGCCUCUUCAUGAUGGAGUUAACUUUUGAUUCCAAUUUACUAUGAAACUUUCAAUAGGAUAAAAUAUAUUAAUUAUGUAGAUUUACUUCUCUUUUUGCCUUACUUUAUUUUUGCCUUAUUUUAUUGGGAAAAUUUUGGGCUAUAAUAAGAUUAUGUAACUUCAAAUCUUUUGUGGAUUGAGACACAAGGGUUGCCCAUUGUGUCAACAUCACUAGCGACUAGUGAUGUACCUAGUCUAUCGAUUAUCGUUAAUGCACGACUUGUUUCGAUACCGAUGGGGACCUAUAGAUACAAUAUUAGGCUCGGAACACAUUUAGAUUGUCAUACAAUUUGUGUGAUCUACGGGUUGAGGAAAAGAAUCGGGAAUGGUCAAAGUGGUUGCAAAGUAGGUGAUACGAGCCUCGUAAGAGUUGCUAGAGACCCUGUAGCAAGAACGAAACAUCCAAAAGGAAGGAUUCAAGUUGGAUUAACAUGGAAUAUGGACCCUAUGAAGAACUAGAAAUCAAUAUUCUUAGGAUGGAAUAUUGACCCAUGGUUAUAUCAAACCAAAAACAAUUAUUAUACGGCAAAGAAAAUUACAAGAAACAACUUGUAAAUUCCUGAAGGUUGUUGUAGAACAUCGAUGGAUAAUUGAUCUUGAAGAACUCAAAAUAAUUCAUUAAACUUUGUGUACGAAAGUUGUGUAUACAACCUAUUUAUAAGUGCUUCAAAGACUCAUUUCUCACAAAAAAAUAGAGUUCCUACCUUUACUAUAAUAAGAAAACUAACAAUUAAGCUAAUUCUAACCAUAAACGAAUUCUACAUGUCACUUUUCUUGAAACUUAUCGACUAUACGCCAUUUUUCUUAAUUGGUGGAGAUUUGGGUAUGCACGUGCAACAACUUUGAGCCCAAUUUUGUCCAUCUUGCAUUCCGUCUUACUAAAGCAUGAAACUUCAAGAUCUUUUGUUGGCUUUUCGUAACAUUUUGAAUUAUGGCAAUCCAAUAUCGGACGUGAGAGUUAUGAUCCGAAUUGAAAAUUUGCGAGAGACAUCUGAGAUUUUGGACGCAUGACAAUUGGUUGGUACGACGAAUUCCUUUCUUUAUUGCCUUCGAAUUCCUCAUCAUGGGGACCUCGGAGUAUUGAUUCAAGUUUAUAUUCUUCACCGCCAACUCCCACAAGAUCACGCAUUCUCUCUUCUUCCAAUUCUUCCAAAUCUUCAUCUUCAAGCUAUCAGGAUCGUAUCAAAAGGAGAAUCUUCAGAAGGAGAAGGAGAAGGAAAAGCUUUAGAGAGAGAAGAAUUGUUGGCGUCUUAUAUACCUAGAACUCAUAAGUAUUAAAUGAGGAUGUGGAAUCACCUCAUGUAAUCCCAAGGAAGGUCAAAGCUCUUUAAAUGUGAAAAAUUGUUUCCAUAUUAAUAAUGCAUAACGAUGAAAUUCUUCUCCCCGAGUUGAUAUUACGAUGAUUGAACUUAUUAACUUCUAAUACUAUUCUAAUACAUAAAAAUUAACUUCUUAAGAAAGUGAUCUUAAAUUAUAGGAAUUUUGAGUUUCUAAAAUACCGUUAAGACCGUACUAAAUAGAAAAUACGGAUUAAGACUAUAAAGUAUAAAUCACCUAUUAUUAUCUUCAAUUAAGAAUUAUGUUGAAAGUGGUUUGUUAGUGAACCUUCUUAUUGGGAGUAGAAAGAGUAAUCUCUCAAUACUUCAAGUUUCAUAUUUGAAGCGAGUCAAAAUGGGUGAGGGUAUUUUCUAUAAAUAGUAAAUAGUAUAUACAUGUGGUAAAUAAGAGGAUAUUAUAGAUCCGAGUCAUAGAAUAUAUUAAAUUCUCAUACAAGUUAUUCAAUCUAAUACAAUGAUUUUGUUGUAUCUAGGUAUCGAGUAGGAACAACUUGUUCAUAACGUAGUUGUUUUUAACUUUAGGCAAGGAUCUUGCUUCUAGAUUGCAUUUGGUCGACGUCGUGCAAAAAUAGUACAUGUAGAGUUAAAAUGAGAUAUAUUAAAUAGUUUAUUAGAUAUACUUACUCUAGUAUGAGAUGUUACAAGUGUAAUUUUUUGCUAUUACUCGAUCACCCCACAUUUGAGCUAUAUAUCAUAUUAUCAUUCAAGCAAGAUAAACAUAGAAACUUUCUGAUAGUCGUCAAAGGAAUGUUUGCGUCCUUUUUUAUGUUUGAUAUUAUUCCUACCUACGUAAAGACUUUAACUUCAACUACUAAAUAGUUUAAUAGGUAAAGAUAUUUAUUUUUGUGUUAUAUGUUACACAUGUAAGCUUUGUGCUUUAUUCUGGUGCUUGUCCAUAGAAAGUUUAUGCUAGUUGUCGAAGGAAUCUAGGAGUCUUUCUUGAUGUUUAAUAUUUUUGUUACCUAAAUCAUUCAACUUAACCUUGUUGAUCGCACUCAAGAUCUCUUUCUACCAUUGCCUAAGUUGUUCUUAUGGAACAUACGAACAAGUGACUACAACAAGUCUUAAUUUGUAUUAUAUUUGUUGUCAGGAUCGUCCUUUUGUUGAUGUCUAACUUUCCCUUCUUUUUUAAUUUUGUAUUAGGUCAAUGUCUUGAUGCAUACAGCUGAAACGUCUCUUAAUCCGGAAGAGCUUUCAACAGUAGUGGAGUUGGGAAGGAAGCACAUUGCCCAAGAUCCACUGGUAUUUCGUGUAAGCAAUGGGAAAGCAAAUCAAGAUGCCCCAAGAAAUCAACAAUUUGAAAGAGAAAAUAAAAAUAAAGGAAAGGAAAAAGUUGAUCCUUCAACCUCAGAAAACAACGAUCCAAGCUUCGAUGAACAAAAAUGUGGUGCUAUCUGGGACAUUUUUCGGAGGCAAGAUGUUCCUAAGCUGGAAGACUAUCUCCGAAGGCAUUACGGAGAGUUCAGGCGUGUCGUCCCUUUGCAGCAAGUAAUUAAAUCUUGAAUUUGAAAACAAUGUUCUACUCAACUUAUUCUGUUAUGGGGUUUAUCUCUCAUAUGGUAGUUACUAUUAUUUUUCUAACAGAAUUCUAAAAAUCAAGAUUUUGUUAAGCUUUUGGUAUGAUCUUUUAUUGUCGUAGCAUAAGUAGAUAGAUGUCUUUUAUUUUUCCAAAGUAUCGAUAUGUUUUGGAAUAUUUAUCAUUUAUUUUUUCCUCUAUUCGUGCACAGCUGGUUCAUCCUAUUCAUGAGAAAGCAUUUUACUUAACGAUGGAGCAUAAAAGGAAGCUGAAAGAUGAAUAUGGUAUGUUUUUAUUGUGUUGUAAAGUGGAAUAUGUGUGAAUUGCUAUGUAUAUUGAUUAUCUAUUUUUAUAUAUAUUUUUUUUUGUAGGAAUUGAACCAUGGACCUUUGUCCAGAGAUUAGGCGAUGCAGUUUUGGUACCAGCUGGCUGCCCUUACCAAGCAAGAAACUUAAAGGUUUGAGUGUUUGACUCGUAUACAACUUCGUGAACGACGACUUCAAUUAUUUUCAGUCGAAUGUAAAUUUUUCGCUGUGAAUUUUGCAAUUAAUUUUUGUGUGCGUGUUCCAUCUUGCAGUCGUGUACGAGUAUGUCCAUCGACUUUGUUUCAGCUGAAAGCGUCGGUCAGUGCAUCCGCCUAUCAACGGAGUAUCGGCGUCUCCCAAAGAAUCAUAGUUGUAAGGAAGACAUGCUGCAGGUAUGUCAAAAAUACGAUUGUCUUGUCAAUAAACAAAAUCAAAGAUAUAUAAUGAAUAAAAUUUGUCUGCUUGUAAGAAAAAUAAAGAUUGUGGAUGACAGCUAACGGCUCGUAAUGAAACAGGUGAAGAGAUUGGUUCUUAGUGCUGUCUGCCAAGCUGUGCAGUACUUGGACAAGAUUGAUGCGUAAGUCAUAUAUACAUAGGCUUGUUAAACAUAUGUCUUUGAUACGAUGUUAAUUCAUUUUAUUUUGUUCUUUCCCAGUAUGACGUUAAGAAGUCCAUUUGCACCCCCCUUUGAGCAUGGGAAUGUACGCCAUAAUCCAGCUCAGCAAGGGGAGAGACCUAGUAUUUUACAAAUGAGGAGGGAGUUGGAGAGGAUGAAAUUGGCUCUCGUAACGAAAGGCCACCUUUUUCAACCUCAUAUGAAAGACUAUCUCUUAAAAGAGAUUACGCUCCUCACUAA